rnacentral:rRNA from 1 species
GAUGAACGCUAGCUACAGGCUUAACACAUGCAAGUCGAGGGUCAGCAUCAUCAAAGCUUGCUUUGAUGGAUGGCGACCGGCGCACGGGUGAGUAACACGUAUCCAACCUGCCGACAACACUGGGAUAGCCUUUCGAAAGAAAGAUUAAUACCGGAUGGCAUAGUUUUUCCGCAUGGGAUAAUUAUUAAAGAAUUUCGGUUGUCGAUGGGGAUGCGUUCCAUUAGGCAGUUGGCGGGGUAACGGCCCACCAAACCAACGAUGGAUAGGGGUUCUGAGAGGAAGGUCCCCCACAUUGGAACUGAGACACGGUCCAAACUCCUACGGGAGGCAGCAGUGAGGAAUAUUGGUCAAUGGACGAGAGUCUGAACCAGCCAAGUAGCGUGAAGGAUGACUGCCCUAUGGGUUGUAAACUUCUUUUAUACGGGAAUAAAGUUAGCCACGUGUGGCUUUUUGUAUGUACCGUAUGAAUAAGGAUCGGCUAACUCCGUGCCAGCAGCCGCGGUAAUACGGAGGAUCCGAGCGUUAUCCGGAUUUAUUGGGUUUAAAGGGAGCGUAGGCGGGUUGUUAAGUCAGUUGUGAAAGUUUGCGGCUCAACCGUAAAAUUGCAGUUGAUACUGGCGACCUUGAGUGCAACAGAGGUAGGCGGAAUUCGUGGUGUAGCGGUGAAAUGCUUAGAUAUCACGAAGAACUCCGAUUGCGAAGGCAGCUUACUGGAUUGUAACUGACGCUGAUGCUCGAAAGUGUGGGUAUCAAACAGGAUUAGAUACCCUGGUAGUCCACACAGUAAACGAUGAAUACUCGCUGUUGGCGAUAUACGGUCAGCGGCCAAGCGAAAGCAUUAAGUAUUCCACCUGGGGAGUACGCCGGCAACGGUGAAACUCAAAGGAAUUGACGGGGGCCCGCACAAGCGGAGGAACAUGUGGUUUAAUUCGAUGAUACGCGAGGAACCUUACCCGGGCUUAAAUUGCAACUGACGGAACCGGAAACGGUUCUUUCUUCGGACAGUUGUGAAGGUGCUGCAUGGUUGUCGUCAGCUCGUGCCGUGAGGUGUCGGCUUAAGUGCCAUAACGAGCGCAACCCUUACGGGUAGUUACCAUCAGGUUAUGCUGGGGACUCUACCCGGACUGCCGUCGUAAGAUGUGAGGAAGGUGGGGACGACGUCAAAUCAGCACGGCCCUUACGUCCGGGGCUACACACGUGUUACAAUGGGGGGUACAGAAGGCAGCUACACGGCGACGUGGUGCUAAUCCCGAAAGCCUCUCUCAGUUCGGAUUGGAGUCUGCAACCCGACUCCAUGAAGCUGGAUUCGCUAGUAAUCGCGCAUCAGCCACGGCGCGGUGAAUACGUUCCCGGGCCUUGUACACACCGCCCGUCAAGCCAUGAAAGCCGGGGGUACCUAAAGUACGUAACCGCGAGGAGCGUCCUAGGGUA